UGCACCCACCUGCCCCCCUGCCUACCUUCACGCAUCCACCUGGACUCCUGCAUACACCCGCCUGCCCCCCUGGAUGCAGUCACCCACCUUCACUCCCCCUGCACACACUCAUCUGCCCCUCUGUAUGCACCCAUCUGCCCUCCUGCCCCUUCCACUCACCCACCUGUCCCCCUGCAUGCAUUCACUUGCCUUCAUUCCCUCUGCAGGCACCCACCUACACCCUUGCACGGACCCACUUGUCCCCUGCUCACACCCACCUGCUCCUCUGCAAAUACCCAUCUGCCACCGCACACACCCACCUGGUCCCCUGCAUGCACCCACCUUCCUCCGACCUUGCUGCACACACCCGCCUGUCCCAAUACACCCAUCCACCUGCCCUCUGCAUGUACCCGCAAGCACCCCUGCAAUCACCACAUGCCCCUGCUCCCUUGCACACACCCACCUGCCCCAUUGCACUCACCCAACAGUCCUCCUGCAGGUACCCAGCUGCCUUCAUUCCCCCUGAAGGCACCCACCUUCCCCCUGCAUGCAACCACCUGCCUCCCCUGGCCUUCUGUAAACACCCCUCCGCAAGCACACAACCGCUCCUGCACAUAUCCACCAGCCUCAAUACACCCACCCACGCGCCCCCUGCAUGCACUCAGGAGCCCCGCUGCAGUCACCCACCUGUCCCCUGCCCCAGUACACGUACUCACUCACUCCCUUGCAUGCACCCACCUGCCCCCCUGUACUCAUCAACCUGCUUCCCGGCAUGCACCCACAAGCCUCCCUUGCCCCACUGCACACACGCACCUGCCCCCCUACAUACACCCACCUGGCCCCCUAUAUGCACCCACCUACCCCCCUGGCCUCUGCACCACUCACCCUCCCCCUGCCUAUCUUCAUGCACCCACCUGCCCACCUGCAGCUACCCUCCUGACCCUCUGCAUGCACCACCUGUCCCCCUGCAUGCACUCACCCACCUUAACUUUCUGUGCACUCACCCACCUGCCCCCCUUGCAUGAUCUCACCUGUCUCCCUGACCCCUGCACCCACAUGCCUGCCCCUUUGCCCCCCUGCAUGCACCCAUGAGCUCCUUGCACGCAGCCACCUGCCCCACUAUACCUACCCACUGUCACUCCUCCCUUCACGCAGCCACCUGCCCCCUGCCCCUGGCAAGCACCCAUGGGCACCCAUGCACACACCUACAUGCACCUCUCCAUGCACCCACAGACCUUCACUCUCCCUGCACAUACCCACUGGCCCCCCUUCACGCACCCUCCUGCCUCCGUACAUGCACCCACUGGCCCCCUGCCCACACUCAGUUGCCCUCCUGCAUGCACCCAUCUGCCCCUCAGCAUGCACUCACCCUCUUUCAACACCCCUGCACACACCCAGGGGCCGCUGUCCCACAUCUUCCUCUGGGACCCCCUUGCCCUGGUUACAGGGUACUGCAGUUGGAGGGAAGAGACGAGGCUGAGCACUCCUGGGGAGACCAGGUGCACCUGCAGAAAAAUUCUGGGGUGCCACUUCCCAGGGAGGAUGGAGGGGAGCCCAGGCCUGCAGCAGGUGCAGCUGAGCCCCUGAUGCCCUGAGAGGCUGCACGACAAGACUGGAGCCAGGGAAGCUCUCAUCCAAGUUGGAACAUGAAGAGGAGAGUUUCCCUUGGGAUCUUUCUGGAUUCAGAUCCUACGUAGCUGGAAGUUUAUCUCAGGGGAAAGCCCAUGAGUGGAACUUUUGACUUAUUGCCCUAUAACAUCCUCCCUGGAGGGAACGUCUGCAUGGGUGGCAAGAUGAUUCUUCCACACGGCUGUGGACGGCUGUGGGCCUCCAGGCGGGGGCUGCUCUGCCCUCGGCAGUGUCCCUGCUCUGCUCUCACCCUGCAUUCUCCCGGUGUCUGUGAAACAAGUAGAGAAAUGGAAGAGAAAGUGAAACUUGGAAGAGGCUGCGUCCCCUUACGUGCUCAGGGCUGUCAGACCUGACAUGCACGCAAUCUACUGUGAGUGUGGACAGAGGAAACACCCACGGACACUCAAAGGCCAUUGGCAUGAGUCAUUACUAACAGUCACAGCGGCUGCAGUUUCAAGGCCUGGAUCAGGUCCUCCCGAGACACACCAACAGACCAGAGGGUCUAAUGGCCCCUCUGCCCAUAAACAUUCACAGCAGCUGGGAAGGUGGUGGUCCCACAUGAUGGACUGUGACAGCGCCUCUGUGACCCUUCUGCUCAGAGUAGCCUGGGCUACAGGGACCCAUUUCCAGCCUGGCCUCCUUGCCCUGCACAGCACCUUCUCUCCAGCAUCUUCCCCGUUUCUGUGUCUCUCAUCCCUUUCCGUCUGCCUUUCCGUCCCCUGUCCCUAACUUCCUGCGGAGUAUUCCUACAAGCCAGCAGUUCAGGACAUUCUGGUUAUUUCCUCCCAGGCUAAAAGACCACCCAGCUCCCCAGGUGCAUCCUGGCUCUUUACUGGCAGUGAGGGCACUGUUGAAAUCUUCAUUAUUUUAAAAUAACAAGUGUUGGUGAGAAUGUGGAGAAGAAGGAGCCCUCCUGAACUCUUGGUGGGAAUGUAAACUGGUGCAGUCACUGUGGAGAACUGUAUGGAGGUUCCUCAAAAAGUUAAAAAUAGAACCACCCAUAGAUCCAGGAAUUCCACUCCUGGGGAUUUACCCAAGGGAAAGGAAAUCACUGUCUGGAAGAGAUCUCUGCACAUCCACGUUCACGGCAGCAUUGUUCACAGUGGCCAAGUCAGGAAAACAGGUUAAGUGUCCAACCAAUGAGUGACGUAUAUACAAAGGAAUAUUGCUCAGCUGUAAAAAAGAAUGGGCAGAUCUGGAGGAUGUUAUGCUGAGUGAAAUAAGCCAGCCACACAAAGAAGAGCCUGUGUGGUCCCACUUACAUGUGGUAUCUGAAGAACAGGCAGAAGCCAAGCACAGAACGGCGUGGGGUGGGGAUGUGUCAGUCACAGGGCACACCGUGGCGGUGACGCAGGAGGAAGCCUGGAGACCUGGUGCCCAGCAUGGUGACCUGCUGACAGCCCCAGACUGAGUGUGUGUGAUCUCAGGUGCUACGGCACACACAGACGGUAACCGAGCAGGGAGAAGGCGGGUCCAGAGCUUGGCUCCAGCCAUCAUGUCACUGGUACGCGUGCCUCACAUCACUGUGCUGAACACCCUAAGUAGAUGCCGUUCUUACUAAAAUGUUUUAAGUUUUAAAAGUAAAAUAAAACAACCAGCCUGUGUGGAGAUUUUAGGGACACUGGUGCAAAGUCCAAACAUCAGGCCCACGAGAA